rnacentral:ncRNA from 1 species
GGACUCUGGAGAAUCCCAAGGAAAUUGGGUGCCGAAGGUGCAAGACCGGGCGCGGGCGCGCGGUCGAAUCUCUCAGGCAAAGGGACGGAGCGGA